CUCCUAGGCUCAAGCAAUCUUCCCGCUUCAGCCUCCCAAGUAGCUGGGAUUACAAAUGUCAUGAGGAUGCUUCAAGUUCAUUGGUGAAUCCACCUGCAAGCAAGCAAUAAAUAAAUAAAGCUUGGAUUUCAUUAAUGCUGGUUUGGAUUAACAAAGUCAUUAAUAUGCUUUAAAUGACUGUUCAUUCACCAUUGUAAUCAGCGUUACUCCUCAGCAAAACUCAAGGAGUAUUUCAAAGCGGUCACAUGUAAAUGUUAGCAAAGGGAAUGACAAGUGCAACAGUUGUCCUGUGAACUCCAACUUGGAAGAACAAGCAUUCAAAGUACAUAUGCUGACUUUACAGGUGAUAUAAUAGCAAAGAAGAGAAGUAUUUGGCAGUGAUUGAUAAAGUAACUUCCUUAAAUGAUGUUUCAUGCCUGUAAUACUAAAAAAUGAAUUGUCUUGUUUUG
rnacentral:antisense_RNA from 1 species